rnacentral:rRNA from 1 species
GACGGAAGGUGCAAGCGUUGCUCGGAAUCACUGGGCGUAAAGGGUGCGUAGGUGGCUUGGAAAGUUUGAUGUGAAAGCUCAGGGCUCAACCCUGAAAUGGCAUUGAAUACUAUCGAGCUGGAGGUUUGGAGGGGGGACUGGAAUUCUUGGUGUAGCAGUGAAAUGCGUAGAUAUCAAGAGGAACACCAGUGGCGAAGGCGAGUCCCUGGACAACACCUGACACUGAGGCACGAAAGCCGGGGGAGCAAACAGG